CACAUAGGAGUAUUUGUAUGAAAAAGCCGGUCAUAAGUCGAAUUAAAAAAAUAUGUUUAAUCUCAUCACAGAAACUAUUUUCUUGAAGAUUUCCAUAGUGUGUAAUGGUUAACUGUGCUUUUGUUUUGUGAAGUAAACGAAAAAAUCUUUUUGGACAUGGAAGGGCAAGCACUUAAUAAUUUUGACCGGUUUUUGGACUGAAAUACUCCUAUGUGCG